UACGAAGGGUGCAAGCGUUACUCGGAAUUACUGGGCGUAAAGCGUGCGUAGGUGGUUCGUUAAGUCUGUCGUGAAAGCCCCGGGCUCAACCUGGGAAUGGCGAUGGAUACUGGCGAGCUAGAGUGCGGUAGAGGAGAGUGGAGUUCCCGGUGUAGCAGUGAAAUGCGUAGAGAUCGGGAGGAACAUCAGUUGCGAAGGCGGCUCUCUGGACCAGCACUGACACUGAGGCACGAAAGCGUGGGGAGCAAACAGG
rnacentral:rRNA from 1 species